UGAGUAAGUUCAACCAACAGUCUUCAGAAAAUUCCUUUACACAUGCAAUUUCUUUAUCGUCAUGUUUACCGGAUGACGCCGAACUCAAAAACGGGCAUUCAUGCUGUUGUCCUUCAAACUCCUUGGCAACCUGAACGCCCUGCUUUGAAAUGACAACUGCACAGAGGCGUCCAGUCAGCACGGCCAGGGGGACAUGGGAGCCAAAGUCCAUAGAUGGAGCGUGGACAGUGGCAGCUGGUGAGCUGACAAAGCCCCAUUCAGAGGGCCCAGGCCUUGGGGACAAUGGCCCGGCCAGGCUGAGCCCUCUCCUCCACCAAAAGAUUAAUACUUCAGAUGGGCUUCCCGGUGGCAGGCAGGGGUAAAAGGGAGAGUCCUCCUGUUUGUCACCGGGCUUUGUGCAAGUUGCCUGAGAACCAACCUCUUGGAUGGGCUUGACAAAUGAGAGCCGCCAUUGACAGUGAACAGAUUGGGGCUGCCACUUUUGUUUUGAUUGUGGUGCCGGUAUAAUCAAGUUAUUUGGGCCUCCGGGAGUUUUUUGUUUCUUUCUCCCGACGCUCUUGACGCCUGAGUCCCACCUCAACAGCCCAUUGCUGACCCAGCUGUGGUCGGAGCGUCCUCCAGCUCCCCUCCUUCUCCUCCCUCUCCGUCCUCCCCCACUGUUUGUUGUUUCUGUUUGUCAAAGCCGUGGAGGAAGUGAAUUUACUUGGGUGUGGGAAUCUUUUCAGGCUUCCCACAUAAGGCGGCGCAGGUGCAACAGGUGUAGGUGUGUGCGUUCUUGUCACAGGAGAAGGUUAUUGUAAUGUUUUUCUAUGCCUAUGCUCCCCAUACACCUGACCUGGAUUGUUUGCAAAAGAGCAGCAGCUCGUACGGGGCACUACGGUAACCAGAAACCCUUUUCAGGUAAAGGUGCAGGCAGCUAACUUGUGCCUCCCACCCAAUCCAUUCUCUGAAACCCUGUCAGCGCAGCACAGGUGUUUAGCCCCCAGCAAGGCAGCAUUUCAGGUUAAACUGUAGGAACGCUGCCCCGCCUUUUUUGCACUGGGAACUGGAAGUGGGUGCAGAGCACACGACAUCGCACCUGCGCACCUGCGAGUGUGUUCUUGGCUACUGUUGAUCCCAUCACGUGACUUUGCAACAGGAAAUGUCGUGGCGGAGAAACUUUGCAGGGAAGAAAGCUGACAUUCAGCCGGCAUUUUACAUGCAAAUGCCAUUUUUCUGGGCCUCGUAGCCAAAUUCUACUAGCCUAACCCCCCCUCCACCCCUAUCUUCCCACCUCAAUGACAGAACUAUUGUUCUCCUGUACUGUCGCUGCAGGCCAUCUGUCCUGUCUGUCCCUGUGUUGUUUGCUAAGUAUCGAGCAGCCAUUCUCACGCAAAGGAAUGCGUCCUUCCUGUAAACAUACUGUACGUUGACCUCCCCUGCGAGCUCCAUAAGGUUCAUCCCUUAUCCUGUUCCCACCCAUCGGUACAUCGGCUUCUCAUCCACCUUCUAGCUUUGGUCUGGCAUCCCUCCUGCUCCCUCCUGCCAGUCUCCCCGUCUCCUUUUGGCUGCCCAGAGACGAUCCUCCUCUGGUUCCCACGUCCGGUAGACGAAUGUACCGUUAAGACAAGAGUCCUGCUUCUUUUUCUUGCAGAGGGCUCUCUGCCAGGAAUCUGCUUGUGUGAAUCUUUGAUGCGGCAGAAGGUGCCCUACUUUUAAACCUCAUUCUUCUUGCUUCUUGGAUUUUUUUAUUUCAUUUUUUUAAAACAAAGGGCAAAAGAGCCUGUGCGUGGGUCAGCGUGGGUGUGUGCAUCUAGGCUGGACACGUCGUGUGCAUGUGUGUGCGUGCACGUGAGGACCGGGCUUUGGGAUUAUAAAGAGGAAGUGAAUGGGAAGUACACACUCAGCGACAAAGUAAGAGGGAGACAUUCCUUUGCUGUCCCCCCUCUCCGUCCCUCCCCUCCCCGCUCCCUCUUUCUCCUCUCUCCCUCCACAGUGGCAGGGCCCUGGGAAAAUCAAACAGGUGGUUUGUGCCUGGCAGGAAAGCUGGCCGGGCCCGGGGUGGGCAGGCCUACAGGCUGCUGGGGGCUAUCAAAAGCUCUUAGCCCCAGCUUUAGGCCAGCGCCAUGAAUGGCCCCGGGCUUCAUUAUCAUGUGAAUUCUGGGAACUGCCCUGGGGCCCCAGUAACACCAGCGAGCUGCCCAUAUGCUGUUCGCUUGGCAACUACGGAGACCUCGGCUCUCCACCCGGGGGCCCCCACCCUUUCCUUCAGCUCUGUCUUUCUCUCUCUCUCUCUCUCUCUCCAUUCCAGCACUUCUGAUAUCAAGGAGAUGAAGGAGCAUCACUCCGCUCUUGGGGGGAGGAAGACAUGAAAGGGGGGGAGGAGGGGGGGGAGACCGGACCACACAGAGCAGCGCCCACCGGUCCUCAGGGACGCCGGGGGUGACACUGCUGCCCUGAAGGGCAACGCCAUUCUGUGCGCCCAACUCUGGGUGGAUUUAGCUAUUCAAUUACCAUUAGAGACUCAAUUUGAAAGCUGUCACGUUUGCAUCAGAAGGCCUGGGUUUUGACAGAUAAAGACGUCAACGCCCUUUCCGGCUUCUUCUUUCCACAUGCCAUCACAGGUUGUAGUUGUGUGUGUGUGUUUUUUUUUUUGACUGAAAUGGAAUUUAACUCUGAAUCACCGUCGUUAUUGCUCAAUCACAAACGAAACUCGUGAAAUUCAUCCAUGUACGUUUGUUUUGUUGCAACUCUAAAAAUUUCAGUGAGCGUUCACACGUUAGGCAGAUCCAAUGUCAGUGGCAAAACGUGCUCAACACUUUCUUUAAGUCCCAUUUGUCAUGUUUUGCAUCGGACCACGCCGCCUUGUAGCAGUAUUUAUUUAACUUUUCCACAUUUUGUCACAUUACAAACACUACAUGCAACAUAUAUUAAUGUGAUAAAUGUUUGCAAUCAUACUCCCGAAGACAUUUUUUCUGUUCUCUUUGGCCAACUCGGUGCAUAUCUGUGAAGUGAAUUAACCGUGUAAUGUGCAAAAACAACAAAGGUGUGCGCUCAGUUUUGUUUCCAUUAGCAACUAGACAAAAAGUCCACUUCCAGAAGAUAACUUGCAACUUGCAUUAGCAAUCAUCUCAGAAUCUGAUCGCUUCUGUUGGGCCAUUGUCACAUUUCUACUCGCCGAUCAGUCACAUUUCUUUGCUUUGCCUUCAGUGGCAGUAAGGCAUUCUUCAGGGCAGCGUUUCAGAAACCCUAAACAGGAUCCACGCAUCAGGUAAGGAACCCGAUGAGUCAUGCGGCUUUUCCUGGCUGAGGAUGAGGACACUUCUGCAGAGGAGAUGUCACUUAACAACUGAGCGGGAAUGCAGCAGGCGGCCCACCUGCGCCGCAGCAACAGGACCAAGAAGAGGAAGUGUGUGAGCGAUGUGUGUUUAAAAAAAAAAAAAAAGAAAAAAAAACGCCACAUGACCUCAUGCUGACGAGGAGUCUCU